rnacentral:rRNA from 1 species
GAUGAACGCUGGCGGCGUGCCUAAUACAUGCAAGUCGAGCGAACGGACGAGAAGCUUGCUUUUCUGAUGUUAGCGGCGGACGGGUGAGUAACACUUGGAUAACCUACCUAUAAUACUGGGAUAACUUCGGGAAACCGGAGCUAAUACCGGAUAAUAUUGUGAACCGCAUGGUUCAAAAGUGAAAGACGGUCUUGCUGUCACUUAUAGAUGUAUCCGCGCUGCAUCAGCUCGUUGGUAAGGGAACGGCUUACCAAGGCAACGAUGCAUAGCCGACCUGCGAGGGUGAUCACCCCCACUGGAGCUGGGACACGCUCCAGACUCCUACGGGAGGGAGCAGUAGGGAAUAUUCCGCAAUGGGCGACAGCGUGACGCAGCAUCGCCGCGUGAGUGAGGAAGGUCUGCCGGUCGGAGAACGCUAUUAUGAGGGAAGAACAUGUGUGUGAGUAGCUGUGCACGUCUUGACGGUACCUGAUCAGGAAGCCACGGCUAACUUCGUG